rnacentral:rRNA from 1 species
CGGGGUGCACCAGGCGCGAAAACUUUACAAUGCGGGAAACCGUGAUAAGGGGACACCGAGUGCCAGCAUCAUAUGCUGGCUGUCCGGGUGUGUAAAAUACACCCGUUAGCAAGGGCCGGGCAAGACCGGUGCCAGCCGCCGCGGUAACACCGGCGGCCCGAGUGGUGAUCGUGAUUAUUGGGUCUAAAGGGUCCGUAGCCGGUUUGGUCAGUCCUCCGGGAAAUCUGACGGCUCAACCGUUAGGCUUUCGGGGGAUACUGCCAGGCUUGGAACCGGGAGAGGUAAGAGGUACUACAGGGGUAGGAGUGAAAUCUUGUAAUCCCUGUGAGACCACCUGUGGCGAAGGCGUCUUACCAGAACGGGUUCGACGGUGAGGGACGAAAGCUGGGGGCACGAACCGGAUUAGAUACCCGGGUAGUCCCAGCCGUAAACGAUGCUCGCUAGGUGUCAGGCAUGGCGCGACCGCGUCUGGUGCCGCAGGGAAGCCGUGAAGCGAGCCACCUGGGAAGUACGGCCGCAAGGCUGAAACUUAAAGGAAUUGGCGGCGAGCACAAG